CCCUUAGAUGUUCUGGGCUGCACGCGCGCGACAAUGACGUUUGCAACGAGAUUGCGAGGCCGUCAGGUCGAGCUGAUCUUGCAAGCUGCGUCGUGAUAGGGACAGUCGAUUGCAAUUAUUCGACUCGAACGAGGAAUUCCUUGUAAUCGCGCAUCAUCAGUGCGCGCUGAUUACGUCCCUGCCCUUUGUACACACCGCCCGUCGCUACUACCGAUUGAACGGUUUAGUGAGGGCCUCGGAUUGGUCUCGGCCCGCUCUUUACCGGGCGGCGCCGUUGGUCGAGAAGACGCUCGAACUUGAUCGUUUAGAGGAAGUAAAAGUCGUAACA
rnacentral:rRNA from 1 species